GACGAACGCUAGCGGCGUGCUUAACACAUGCAAGUCGAACGAUGAAGCCGGAGCUUGCUCUGGUGAAUUAGUGGCGAACGGGUGAGUAACACGUGAGUAACCUGCCCUUGACUCUGGGAUAACUGCGGGAAACUGCAGCUAAUACCGGAUACGACCCUCGGAGGCAUCUCCUGGGGGUGGAAAGAAUUUCGGUCAAGGAUGGACUCGCGGCCUAUCAGCUAGUUGGUGAGGUAAAGGCUCACCAAGGCGACGACGGGUAGCCGGCCUGAGAGGGGGACCGGCCACACUGGGACUGAGACACGGCCCAGACUCCUACGGGAGACAGCAGUGGGGAAUAUUGCACAAUGGGCGCAAGCCUGAUGCAGCAACGCCGCGUGAGGGAUGACGGCCUUCGGGUUGUAAACCUCUUUUAGCAGGGAAGAAGCGAAAGUGACGGUACCUGCAGAAAAAGCACCGGCUAACUACGUGCCAGCCGCCGCAGUAA
rnacentral:rRNA from 1 species